CCUCCGCGGCCGCCCCCCUCCCCGGGGGGGUGGCCAGCGCCCGCCAGAGGACCAUCAAACUCCAGUCAGUAAACGAUGCAGUCUGAAAAACAUUUAAUAAACUAAAACUUUCAACAACGGAUCUCUUGGUUCUGGCAUCGAUGAAGAACGCAGCGAAAUGCGAUAAGUAAUGUGAAUUGCAGAAUUCAGUGAAUCAUCGAAUCUUUGAACGCACAUUGCGCCCUUUGGUAUUCCGAAGGGCAUGCCUGUUCGAGCGUCAUUACAACCCUCAAGCUCUGCUUGGUAUUGGGCACCGUCCUUUGCGGGCGCGCCUCAAAGACCUCGGCGGUGGCGUCUUGCCUCAAGCGUAGUAGAACAUACAUCUCGCUUCGGAGCGCAGGGCGUCGCCCGCCGGACGAACCUUCUGAACUUUUCUCAAGGUUGACCUCGGAUCAGGUAGGGAUACCCGCUGAACUUAAGCAUAUCAAUA
rnacentral:rRNA from 1 species